rnacentral:rRNA from 1 species
UACGAAGGGGGCUAGCGUUGUUCGGAAUUACUGGGCGUAAAGCGCACGUAGGCGGGUUGUUAAGUCAGGGGUGAAAUCCCGGAGCUCAACUCCGGAACUGCCUUUGAUACUGGCAAUCUAGAGACUGGAAGAGGUUAGUGGAAUUCCCAGCGUAGAGGUGAAAUUCGUAGAUAUUGGGAAGAACACCAGUGGCGAAGGCGGCUAACUGGUCCAGUACUGACGCUGAGGUGCGAAAGCGUGGGGAGCAAACAGG